rnacentral:lncRNA from 1 species
UUCUGUCUCUGUGUGUCUCUCUGCUUCUCUCUGUCUGUCUCCUGUCUGCCUCUCUGUCUGUCUGUCUGUCUGUCUCUCUCUCUCUCUUCCUUCUGACCCUCUCUCUUUCCUUCUGUCUGUCUCUUUCUCUGUCUUUCAGAUAAAACCCAGGGCUCCUUGGAAAGCUAGGCAAGCACUCUCCACUAAGCUGCACCGCCAGCCCAGCCCAGCCCAGCCCAGACCCCUGUUCUCAGCCUAGGUGCUUCCUUCACAGUCUCCACCCUCCUGCCCUCCAGGGCCCCUCUGUUUUUCUCCCCCAACAGGCACCAGCACACACAAAAAGAAUGGAUGAUCAUCCUAGAGGAGCCCCAGGUAUAGAGAAUAAUAACCAUCCAAGUGGGCUGGGAGAAGUGCCCUGUAAUCAAAUACGUUAAUAUAUAUAGCAAAAAUAUGAAUAUUCAUCUGAGUGAGAUAAAAAAAGGUUAUGCAUUUCAUGCAGUUCAGAUCAGAUUAUACUGCUAAAUAAUUGCAUAAAUGUACUAAUAGUCCCUGGUUAAUGAAUGUCUAAGCUAUUAAUAGUCUUUUACUACUUUAAAUACUGUGAAGAAUACUUUAAAGAAUGUCCUAGAGCAGAUAUCUUUCCACAUGUGCAGCAGUAACC